rnacentral:lncRNA from 1 species
CAACUGCCUUGAAGGGAAGUGACCUGGAAUUGUUCAAGCGAUGUCCUCCCUCCGGGCAGAAAGCCGGACUGAAUAAUUUAUUCAGAAAACAAUUCCGUUUUCCCUGUGGUGGUAAGACCUGUACCUGGGGAAGAUCUGGGGACUGGAAAGCUGCUCUGGCUAGGGCUGCUGGCUUCCCAACCAACCUCUCCCGCUCUGAUGCACGAGCCAAGCCUACCUCUAUAUUUCGGACCAUCUUCAACCCAUUUCCACCGGUGAAGAUGGUGAGGCCUCCAGGGGUUAAGUGAUUUGCCAAGAGAUGCAUAGCUGGCAGCAGAGCCAGGAUUAGAACUCAGUCUCCCGGUUGCUAAGUCUGCGUGUUCCUUAUCCUAGACACCCAUGGAAAAUGAUCCACAUCAACUCUAUACACACCAAAGCCUUUAGUUCGUUUCUUUGUACGUAGUAGGUCUCAGUAAAUAGACAGAGGAUGAAUGGUGCAUAUUACAGGCAAGAGAGACC